GGGUCGUUAGCUCAGUUGGUAGAGCAGUUGACUUUUAAUCAAUUGGUCGCAGGUGCGAAUCCUGCACGACCCACCA
rnacentral:tRNA from 1 species